UACGUAGGGUGCGAGCGUUGUCCGGAAUUAUUGGGCGUAAAGGGCUCGUAGGCGGUCUGUCGCGUCUGCUGUGAAAACUCAGGGCUUAACCCUGAGCUUGCAGUGGGUACGGGCAGACUAGGAGUGCGGUAGGGGAGACUGGAAUUCCUGGUGUAGCGGUGAAAUGCGCAGAUAUCAGGAAGAACACCCGUGGCGAAGGCGGCUCUCUGGGACGGUACUGACGCUGAGACGCGAAAGCGUGGGGAGCGAACAGG
rnacentral:rRNA from 1 species